rnacentral:misc_RNA from 1 species
ACUUUCAAGGUGGAUGCAGAGACUAAGAAGGAAGGUGGCAUGCCAAGAGUUGGGAGUGCUUACGACUGGUCCUCAAACUACUAAGGAGCUAUAUAGUUUUUCUCAAUGGGGCUGGUUGUUAACAGCCCUUGUGUUGGUUUUGCAAUAUCUUCUUCUGAUCUUACAUUCCGAUCUUUUAUGAUUUUGCUGCACAAACAGAUCACUUUAUAUUGCUGUUAGUAUUUCCCAAAAACAGGACAGCAAUUUACAGUGCUGUAAGUGUUGCUUAGUGUCCAACUAAGCCCUAACUUUUGUGGGGCUUAACAUAAAA